UAGUCCCACAGGCUGAGAAUAAAAUAAGAAACCAGUUCAAUGGCCCCUAAAGAGCCACAAGGUAAAUCCCUUCAGUUACCAUUUUCUCUUCGCAGGAGAUUUACUGACUCGAUACGGUCCCCCUAGUACAUUGUACUGGAGACUCUUGACAGAGCUGAGAUAUUUCGGGCUGUUGUUUUUGUGUAGAUCAUAUCAUAUAUCAUAAUAUCAUAUUACAAUACUCAUGUUUUCUUUAUAUAGGUGAGAAGCCAGUGAAAGCCCCAAAAAAACGAGCAAGAAAAGCAUCAGGAAAAAGAACACGUUUCAGGAAACGUAUGAAAAGAAUUCUUAAAUCUCCUUUUUGCCUGUAUGCUGGCGGACUGUUUGUGAUGGGCUCCAUUAUAGGGGCAACAAUGCUGACCUACCUAUAUGUUAAGGAACUGCAAAGGAGAGCCAUAUUUGAAGAAGGAACGUCAAGGAUUCUGAAAACGAUAGAAUCCCUCUAUCCAGAUCUUUGUGGGGCAGAUGAUAUCACCAAAUUCAAGAAAGCUGAGAAUUUAUCUAUGGCGAUAUUCGAAGAGAGAAGGAAAAUCAAUGAAAUAGAUCAUGCUAUUCGUAAGUUAC